UACGUAGGGUGCAAGCGUUGUCCGGAAUUAUUGGGCGUAAAGAGCUCGUAGGCGGUUCGUCGCGUCGGCUGUGAAAACCCGAAGCUCAACUCCGGGCCUGCAGUCGAUACGGGCGGACUUGAGUGUUGCAGGGGAGACUGGAAUUCCUGGUGUAGCGGUGAAAUGCGCAGAUAUCAGGAGGAACACCGGUGGCGAAGGCGGGUCUCUGGGCAACUACUGACGCUGAGGAGCGAAAGCGUGGGGAGCGAACGGG
rnacentral:rRNA from 1 species